AAGAAAGUAAAUAAGGGCGCAUGGCGGAUGCCUUGGCUCUCGGAGGCGAUGAAGGACGUGAUAAGCUGCGAUAAGCUUCGGGUAGGUGCAAAUAACCUUUGAUCCGAAGAUUUCCGAAUGGGACAACCCGGCAUUCUGAAGGAAUGUCAUCCAACCAAGUUGGAGGCUAACGCAGGGAACUGAAACAUCUUAGUACCUGCAGGAAAAGAAAAUAAAUAAUGAUUCCCCUAGUAGUGGCGAGCGAACGGGGAAUAGCCCAAACCACCCAUGUUACGGCAUGUGUGGGGUUGUAGGACCACGCUCUCGCAAGAAAGUUAUUGAGAAGAAGCGACUGGAAAGUCGCGCCAUAGACGGUGAUAGCCCGGUAUUCUAAGGUAACUGAAGCGUAGUGGUAUCCUGAGUAGCGCGGAGCACGAGGAAUUCUGCGUGAACCAGCCGGGAC
rnacentral:rRNA from 1 species